UCUACCGCUCUUUCCCUCAUUCUGUCCACAGUGUAGCAUAAAGCCUGAGUUGAAGAAAGUGAAAAACUGUAUGGAUUAAUCAAGUCCCGCUCACAACAGAUGCCUAUCAGCUCCAAGCGAGACUUUGACCUCUGUAGAAAUCGACAAGCAAACAAGCAAGCAACCAACUGAACCACCCAGCCAUCCACACACCAGUCAACUGGCCAGCUCCAUAACCUAGUUCAGGAGGCGCCGAGGAGGGUGACGUUCUUGUCAUAGUUUACAUAUGGCCCUCAAAAAUCAGUUAAUUCAACAAACAAUGGUGUCAGAGGCUCUCCAGGGACAAAGAGGCUUCUGGUGCUUGACAGCAGAUGACUGCAGAGUCCGGCACCACCCCUCCAAGACCACAGAUCUUUGCUUCAGAAACAACGCUGGAUUCUCCAAGUUUAUGAACAAAAGAUAAACUAUUCAUGAGCAAAUAGCAAAACUGAGAUCUCACUAUGUAGUUCAGGCUGACCUUCAACUUGCAGUGAUCCUCCUGCCUCAGCCUCCCAAAUCCUGGAAUAACAGGUAUAUGCCAGCACUCCAGGAAAGCGACAGACUUUCUUUACCUCAAGUCCUCUUCCUUCCUUCCUUCCUUUCUCCCUCCCUCCCUUCCUUCCUCUUUCUCACUCUUUCUCUCUC